GUCUCGUAGUUUGGCGCCAGAGGCUGGGCCACACAGGCUGGAGGGGGAAGCUGCUUUGCUGGGCGUCGCCGUGGCAACGCGCGCGGUCGUUUCCGGGAGCCCUGGCUGAGCAGGUGCUGGGAGCAGCGGAACGAAAGGCGGACAGACCUCAGUUGCUCCGACGGACUUGAGCCCAUCAGUCCGUUCUUUCAAGUUUCCCCCACCCCCGACCUAGGUGCUUGCAAGUUCAGGUUCUUCUGCUUCUUAGCGUCGCGGCUGGCCCAUCUUAGAGGCUGAGUGAGGACUCUACUUUCCUCAGAUUUGUUGAUCUACAGAAUGCUUCGCUAUUCAUAUUUUUGUAGAACGCACAAAGGACUGUUUUACUGCUGGGUGGAGUCUGGUGCAUUUAAUUUGGGUGUCUGUCCCCAAGCAAUGCACACUACGGCAGCAGUCCAUACUGAAUGUGAAUCCCUGGGAGAGACAGCUCUGUGUGGCACUAGGGAGGUACAUAGAUCUGCAGAGAAAGAUCCGGAAGCCAUGGCUAAAUUACAUAUUCCAGUAAUGGUGGAUGAAGUUGUUCAUUGCUUGACACCACAAAAAGGGCAGGUUUUUCUAGAUAUGACAUUUGGUUCAGGAGGACACACAAAAGCCAUUCUGCAGAAGGAACCCGAUAUUACUGUCUAUGCUUUAGACCGAGACCCAACAGCUUAUGCACUUGCUGAGCAGCUUUCCGAAGUGUAUCCGAAACAACUCCAAGCUAUGUUGGGCCAAUUCAGCGAGGCAGAGACUUUGUUAAUAAAAGCUGGAGUGCAGCCAGGGUCUAUUGAUGGAGUUCUUUUUGAUCUGGGGUGUUCCUCCAUGCAACUUGAUGCUCCUGAACGAGGUUUCUCCCUUCGGAAGGAUGGCCCCUUGGACAUGAGGAUGGAUGGAGACAGGUAUCCUGACAUGCCCACUGCAGCUGAUGUUGUGAAUGCUUUAGAUCAACAAGCACUUGCAUCUAUCCUAAGAGCAUAUGGAGAGGAGAAGCAUGCCAAGAAAAUUGCUUCUGCAAUCAUUCAAGCACGCAGCAUAUACCCUAUCUCUAGAACCCAGCAGCUUGCCAGCAUUGUUGCAGGGAUGACAUGACUUUUAGGAAAAAGAAAAAUAAUCAUCUUUUCCUGCAUUGGGACAUGUAAAGCAUAUCUUUCCACAGAAAUAAAUUUACUGUUGAAAUGUCAAUUGAUACUUUAAGUAACAAGAAGAGUUGCUAUAGUAAUACAGUGCUUAUUAGGAUGAAGUUAGAAAAUAAGACUGGUGAAAAUUGAACACUGUAUUAAAGGAUCCCAGGCGAAAGGACACGAGUUGCGUCACAGAGACUUAUUAAAUGUGAUGGAAACUCAGCAGAUGAAUACCAGCAAACAGGUGCAAGAGCUCAAUUAAUUUUUAAACCCUACGACUCAGGAGGAUUGCAAUGCAUCGUGUUGACAGCCACAGCACGUUGCUAAUUUCAUCCACGAGCUUAAAAAUCUCAAUACAUUAGAGCAUGUGAAUGUAUUAAAUUUUUAAAAAGUGUGAGUAGUACUAGGGUAUCCUAAAACGAAAAAUGUUAAUUUCUCUAUGGGACUUGAAAUCAUUUAUCUAGUGAAAAGAUGGUGUUUUUUUUCUAUUACUGUACUCUGACUGCUUUCAUGUACAAAUUGAGUUCCAUUAUUAUGUGUAAUAUAGACUGCUGUUAUUAAGUUAUGGCUUUGUAACUCAGAAAAAAAAAAAAAAACAACUAACAGUUCAUGAAGUAUCCAGCUUCUUUGGUGACAUGUGAAGGAAGUUUGCAACCCAUGCAGUGGUGGUAUUAGGUGCCAAGAGAAUGCUGAAGUCUUUUUGCAUGACAUGAUUGAAAAUGAUAAGUUAGGGACAAAAAGUUGAGCCAACAUAGUUUGCUUUCACCAGGAAUUAACCUUAUGUGGGGUUCUGGGACCAUUUCAGCAUGUGAUGGAGAUGAGGGUUGGUCAUCUCCACAUAACCUUGCACACAUGAACAGUCUUAUGGGACCAUUUGAGAAUUUGAAACAAUCUCCAGGGAACAUCUCCACAUAAUCCUGUACACAUGAGCAGCCUUAGGAAGAGAUGAGUACCACUUCCUGUACAUCAUUAUCUCUGACUCAGAUUGGUAAGAUAGCUCUUAUCCAGUGGGUUUUCCUCCUUGUCACCAUCACUAAUCUGUCUGUGUGCCUGGGAUUGGUAAAUAAGAGUUAGUUCCUGGCCUUUUUACAACUUAGUAUGAACUGAAACUCACAGUGCAGAGUACUAAGUUGAAAUAUGUGGUAAAAAAAAAAAAAAAAAAUAGGGCAUCUUGGUGAGUAUUAAAGGUAAGUAGAUAGAAACUUCAAGAAGAAAGAAAAGGCAUCCUUAGUCAAAGGAAAGGGUUUUGCAGGGGCUGGAGAAGAAAGCCAGGCAUGCUACCCUCUUACUGUUAAAAACCAUGUGUUUAUGAUGAAUGUGUAACAACAAGUGUUUGGAAAACAUUUUAUCUUCUCUGUCAAGAUUUCCGAAGAAGCUUUAAAGAAAAUAAAAGGAGCUGGGCUUAAUUCUUCAAGAUUUUUGCCAGGAAAAAAAAACUACUCUGUUUUAUAUAUAAACUUAACUUCUCCCUAUUUUUGCUUAACUGGAGCAUAUUUAGCAAUCCUAUUUAAAACAUAAAAACAACUGUAAUGUACGUCCUUGCUAACAGGUGAACUGAGUACAUUUUGAUUCUUAAUCAGAUACAUGUAAUCUGCACCUACCCAAACAUCUAGAUAAUGGCACCAGUCACAACUGUUGCUUUUAUAAACCCACUAUCAAGGAAGCAAAUGAAAAGGGGAGACAAAUGUGCAGUCUAAUAACCUGAGCUAACAAUAAGUUAUUUUCAAUAGAAUGAAAAGAACAAAAGCCAAAGAGAUUCAUUUCCAUUCCCAGGUUAUGAGCCCAGGAAGGUUGCUGCUCUCACCAGAUGCACAGUCUUUAGGGUUGACAAUGCACAUCUCCCCCAGGGACAUGCAGAGAGAAAGCCAAACUCUUGCAACUUGAUGCAGAGAGAUUUGACGUCCAUUAAAACAUCUCUCAAUAACAAGCUAUUCAGGUGUAGAGUAAAGAUUCUAUACUUUUUUUUCCCCAGAAAAUGAGAUUGUUGCAUAAAACACCUGACAUGGAAUCAGAGCCUGUGUAAACCAUGCUGAACCUGGUGCUAUCAUUUCAGCUUCCUUCCUCCUAACUAGGAAAGAGGAGAUGAGGAGAUUUGCUGAACAUACCGUCUUAAAAUUGCUGCCUUAUUUUGAACACAUUUAAGUCCAAGAUGAUCCUAAAGACAAUGAAUUAUAUUUAAACUCCUAUGAUGAAUUUUAACAACAACAAACAGCACUGAUCUGAACUUCUCUAAGUGUCGGAUAAACUGCUCAGAAAUCUUCAUUUUAUUUUAGAGUUUUUAGAUGCACUAUUUUUUACCAACAAGGUAGAUUAGUGGUGUUUAAAGUCAUGGGGUUCAUCUGCAUACAAUACGUGCAAACUUUGGAAGCAACGUUUGACCCCUUGGUUUUUUUGUUUGUUUGCUUUUUGUUUUGUUUGUUGUUGUUUAGCUCUAUUUCGAAUAUAAGGAUGACUGCUUCUUACCUCUUAUAAUUUGAGUAAGGAUUUAUUGACAUAAUUAAAGUACAUAAACAUGAUUAACAGAAAGUCUGCUUUCAGCGUUUCCCAAGUGUUACCUGUAAAAUAAAUGAUAUGGAGUAAUUAGUUUUUGAAAAUAAAAGCAGCUGGAGAGAUGGCUCGGUGGAUUAAAUGUUUGCCAUGCAAACCAAGUACUGGAGUUUGGAUCCCCAGUAUCCACAUAAAAGCCAGGUGUCUGCAUCCUGGAGGCAGAGACAGAAUCAGGGCCAAGAUGACUAGUUAGACUAGCCUGAAUUGGUGAGCUUCGUGUUCAGGAUGAGACCUUUCCUUAAUAUACAGAGUGAAAAGUUAUUGAGGAAGACACUUAAUGUUAGCUCCUCCACUUAAUGCCUACGCACUUGUGCACACACACAUGUGCAUACAUACAUACAUACAUACAUACAUACACACACACACAGAGUCUCAUAUAUGUGAACACAUGUGUAUACCACACAAACCCUUGAAGAACAGUGAGUAAUAAAGAACUUUUAAAUAGUUAUUCUUAAGACUUUACCAUGGUCAUUGUGGCUUUGCAGAGGAAUGUGGCAUCCUGCAUUUUCUAUACACGUGUGACAGAAAUGUUCUGUUGUUUGGUUGGGAUUUGAGGGUGUUACAUUUUACUAUGCCACUUUCCUGAAAACAUCAGUUUAGAAAAUGUAGGUAGACAACCAGGAAUCUUCCUUCUCUUUUUACUCUGUGUUAGUGUGCACCAUGUCUUUGGUAGCAGUCGGCAUAACAUUGGCUUUUCAUUCUUAGUAAAGGGUUUGAAUUUCUUGAGGUCAGUGAUGACAUACUUUUAAGUGUUUUAAUCCUCGGUGUUUAGCCUAUAAAAAAUUUUAAAUGUUGGCUAAAUGAAUGAUUGGUGUAUUGUUAAGUGUAUGCAUUUGUUAGGUCUUGCAGAAUAUUUUUUGUGACAUUCUGGACUGUAAUUGUUUUAGUCUAGAGGUUUUCUACUGGUAACUUUAUAUGCACAUCAGCUAAUAGUCAGACUAAAUAAAUGGACCAGCAGAGCAAGACUGUGAAGACAAAGGAGUGGAUUAAAAUGACUCACAAUCUAUUUUAUUGUUGUGGAACUAUGCUUAAGAAAGAAGAUACCUGUGGAAAAAGAUAUCCUAUGAAAGCUACAGAAAAAGAAACAGAAACAGAAAAAAUAUAUAAUUAAAAAAUAAAAAUGUUGUACUCUUAAAAUAACAGAAUACAAGUUGUAUAAUUUAUAUUGCAAGAGAAAUUUAGAAGUUUAAUUAUGGAAAAUAAUCUCCUGGCCAGAUGGUUGAAACAUAAUCUGGAUGGUUUAUGUUAAUGAAGUUCAGGUUCAUCUUCAUAGCACCAGUUAUUAAAUAGCCAACAUCAAGUGUAAUACGAAUUCUACAUCCUCAUCUUUUAAAUAUAUAUAAGCAAUACUUUGUAAAUUUGGUGAUGUAUCAUUAAUUUGUGCAUUAGAGACAUUUUGUACUUUCUUUUGGAUGCUGACCUCUCCUAUUAUACUAUAAUAAGUGUUUGGCAAAUCCUUAAUGUCUAAUACCCACUCUGUUUUACAGCUGAGAAUAAGAGAAAAGUAAAUGUGUGAAUGGUAUCCACCAGGGACUUUUUCCCCCUAAAUGUACGCUAAAUGCUCCUUGAAUGCUUCUAAUAUUUCAUAUUCACAAUAAUCCCAUGUUCCAGAGUUAUAAAUGUGACAUCUUACCACUGGAUGACAAACUCAGAGGCUAAGUAUGUUGCCUCAUGCCCACAGCAAUAAAGAGAAAGGCUUUCCUGAAGUUAGGACCAUUUCUGUUAUCCAAUGCUGUCUUUCUAGAAGCAUGACCUUUCCUAUGCUUUUCCCUAGUAAGAUGUGUUUGUGUAAAUGGUGUACUUAGAGAUGCUUGACCAUGACCUAGAUGACCACAGCUAUUAAACUAUAGUGACAACAUGUAAAAUAUUAACAGAAAUACUGUGUUCUUUAGAUGGAUUGGUUUAAUAUUAAGGUAAUGUUAAUUAUUAUUAUUCACAUUAGCCUAUAAAGUUACUGCAGUCCUAAUUAUACUACUGUUUUUGUAUAUGCUUCAUUAAUUAUUUAUUUAAUUUGGAAUGAUAAAUGCAAGAGAAAUGUCCAACACAACUUUGAAAAGAAGGUUAGUUAUGAACUAGUAAGGUUACCCCAAGUGACAAAACCUAGCAUAAGGAAGCAAUAAUCAGUAUUUAAAAAUAGUUUUGUAUUGGUAAAAAAUAGAGAAAUGCAUAAAUGUAAGACAAUUGAGAAUGCUGGAGUACUUUUAUCUGUAACUUGAAAUGCAGUAUAUCAUCAGAAUGAUGUGGUAAAUCAAUAGGAGAAAUGUAGCAUUUAUAAAAUAGCAGUGUGUUAAACCCUCAUACUGUAACAGAAGUUAUUUUUCAUGUGAAUCAAAUACUUAAGCAUAUAAACAAAACCAGAAAUAUAUCCAGAAUAAAGCUGAUAAUGUUGGA